rnacentral:rRNA from 1 species
GAGUUUGAUCCUGGCUCAGGAUGAACGCUGGCGGCGUGCCUAACACAUGCAAGUCGAACGAAGCACUUACUUCCAAAUCUUCGGAAGAGGAGGUAUUUGACUGAGUGGCGGACGGGUGAGUAACGCGUGGGGAACCUGCCCCGUACGGGGAUAACAGUCAGAAAUGACUGCUAAUACCGCAUAAGCGCACGAAAGCGCAUGCUUUUGUGUGAAAAACUCCGGUGGUACGGGAUGGUCCCGCGUCUGAUUAGCCAGUUGGCGGGUAACGGCCACCAAAGCGACGAUCAGUAGCCGGCCUGAGAGGGUGGACGGCCACAUUGGGACUGAGACAC